ensembl:lncRNA
GUAAAAUACGGGACAAAUCACGUCCCAUAUUGUUUUGAUACGGGACACAUAAUUUACCUUUAAAUACGGGAUGAUCUCAUAUUUUAAGGGACGGGUGGCAACCCUAAUAACUGGCUGUUUACAUUAAUUUUGUGUCAUAAAACCAUUUUGAUACACAAGUGAAUUAAACCACUUACAUUGAGUCACGCACAACCGCAUGCUUGAGCAGUCUUCACAAACAAAGCGCAUGUCAGCAUUUGAAAUUGAAAGCAGCCUUCUGUUAGUGAGGUUCAUAUAUUAAAUAUAUAAGUCCACUGCAUUCCCAACCGCAUAAAUUAUGAAUUCCUAGAGCAUUUGUAAGGAAAAUACCGAUGGGUGAGACCACACACUUCAAGUGUAACAUCAAACAAAGCACACGUCUCUCACAGCGCAUCCUGUGCAAUGAAGGCCAUGAAUGUCCUUGUAAUUCGCUUCAACCUUUCUGAACUUCAUGAAAGAUUAUUUUACGGAAGGUUCGUGUGGUGUAUGCGUUUGAGGAAUUGGAAGCAAGCAGGGUACGGGUGUUUCCAAAGCAAACUCAGCGUCAUCUCGCAUCUGAUUAAAAACUAAGCUCAGAAUCGAUUCUGAAAUUCUCAGAAUCGAACCAGAACCAUUGGAGAGAGAAUUGCGAUGCAUUGAUUUUUUCCCCCCACCCCUAAGCAUUAACCCUGCAAACUGUGUGGCAGAACUUCACAACAAAACUAAACCUCAAGGCCAAAGUGCAUUAAACGAUUUGAAUGCACUUCACAGAGGCUCCACGUUGUGCAUUCAAAUCGUUUAAUGCACCGCUAGCCGUUGAUUAUCCCUUACUUAUUCCAUGGUCUGUCUGAAUACUGGAUACACAGAGGGGAAGGGAAGGAAACUGCAUCCUAUUAAAGGAGUCUUUUGUUCUCCAGAAAGACGAGAAUGGGAUGGAGUACCUGACCCUGGCGCAUAACCCUGAAAUGAAAAAUUGCAAGGAUCCCACUGCAUCAGUUUUUCAGGUGGAAGCCAUCUCUAACAUUUACACAAACCAUAGUCUACUGUGCACUGCCGUUGGUCACCGAUCUGACGCAGGAAAGUCAGCAGAUAAUGUCAGUGACAGGCCACCGAUGUGAGGCUAGUUUGCAGUCUUACUGAGCCCCGUUGUUGUCUGACAGGAGAGCAUGGAGCAACAUUCUGACAUCUCGAGCCUCAACAGGCAAGGGAAAAUACUGUAUGCUCACACAUCCAUCUUCCUCCAAGACAUUAAAUAAGUGAAGAAAACAGUUUUAACUUUUUAUUCGAUUUCAUUUACUUUAAUGCAUUUCAAUAGGCUAAGGCUAAUGUUAUAGCACUAUUUCUGUCUUUAUUCAUAAGUAUAUAAACUGUGCUAAGUUGCCAGAAGCACACAAUCUCUCUCUCUCUCUCUGUCCUAGAAAAAUGGUCAAAUGGUUAAAACUUAUUUUUUUCUGAUUUUAUCUGUAUUAAUGCAUUUCAAUAAAUAUAAUGUUAACACACUACUCCCA